AUUUGUUCGACCUAACCUUCACCCCUUUCAUCUUUCCAAUUUCCUUGCGCAACAACCAUGACGGACAAAGAAGACGUCGCACGACAUACUAAUGCGAUCGCUGAGUAUCGGAAGAAACUUCUCCAGCACAAGAGUUUGAUCCGGUAGCUUGGGGACACAAUGUCAAAGUAUUGAACUUGCAUUUUGGUCAACAAAGAGUUGGGCUUUCACAACAUUUUGGUCCUAGAAGUUGGAUCAUAGCAAGAAAUUGGAAGUAGAUGAAGGUUUGAAUUUGAACACGGUUGAAUGUCUAAGAGGGAGGUUAUUAGCAGAAAGACACGCUUUAAAAGUAGCUAAGGAACAAACAGAAUCAAUGGGCAAAAAGGAGACGUGUUUUACCUACCGACAUAUCACUCCCUCCAUCCUCCCGCAGGCGACAUGUUUAACCUAUUUAGGCACCAAAGGUAUCCGAGUCACCGGUGGUAGCUGAGGCACCAGUGCCACCUCCGACUACCGAGACUGCUGUGGAUGAUGAACUAGAGCCACCUCAAGAAUUUAGAGAAGGAUUUGUAGAGUUGUCAUUGUUGCCUCUGUAUCCAGACCACACUGUCAUACAUAUCUGGGACGGAGAGUUUAUUAACCACGAGCAGAAGAUUACCGGCUUGCCUAAGCCGAACGACGAAUGAUUUCAUACUGAUUUUCCCUAUCUAUGAUGAAGGACUUGUGCAGGACCAGUUAUGUUUCGGUCAACCAUGAGAUGCUUAAUGCAUUCAUGGAGAGAUGGUACACUGAGACCUCGUCGUUUCAUCUACAUUCUGGUGAGAUGUCUAUCACACUCGACGAUGUGUCGUAUUUGCUGCAUCUUUCGAUAAGGGAGAAACUUCUAGAUCAUGGGAGGACUAACAAAGACAAGACACUCGAGAUGACAGUAGACUAUCUGGGAGUUGACACAAAGGCUGUCAUGAGGGAGUUGGAAAAAAUUAGAGGGGCUCAUCCUAGGUUUGAAUUCCUUAAAAAUGUAUAUACAUAUGAGACCGUUAGAGAAUAGCAGGCUAGAGGCAAUGACGAGCAGGAAGUGCUCCAUAAAGCGUAUGCUAUGAGAGCUUACCUAAUAUAUUUAGUUAGCACUGAGAUUUUUAUGGACAAGAGUUCUACUAAUGUGGAUGUCAUCCACCUACGGUACUUCGAGGACUUCGAGUAGAUCCAUGAGUAUAACUGGGGGACCACUUGCCUGGUCUACUUGUACUCGAAGUUAUCAGAGGGCUGCAUAUGAAAGACAAAGCAUGUUACAUGCAUCAUCACACUAAUGACGUUAAUAUUUAUUGGUUUUUUAAUAUUUUUGUGUCAUUUUCAUUGUUUUUUGCAACGCUUUUACUGAUGAUUUGUGUGUUCCAGCACUGUUUAGGCUUGGAUCCUAAAGCACUUCCCGUGUAUCUUCGGAUGGUCUUAUGUGUCGACUUAUACCGAGGAUAUGUCGCGUGCGUCUGCAUUUGCCCCGCUUUUACUGAUGAUUUGUGUGUUCCAGCACUGUUUAGGCUUGGAUCCUAAAGCUAUUCAGAGUCUAUCUUGAUUGCUUGGUUGCCGAGGACAUACACUUCAACAACUAUGUCGAUCACCGUGAGACGUGACCAUUUGAUGACAUAAUGCUAUACUCAGGAUGGAUGGCUUAUGGAUCACGUCUCAUUGCUCCUCAUCUGCCUGAUCACGUGAUGCGACCGUUCUACUACACUUAGACCAUUUCUAGACACCCUGUUCUAUCCGUUCCUCCUGGUAUGACACGUAGAGAGAUGAAUGCCAUGUUUAUGAUUAUCUUAGUCAUUUAGUACCGGAGAAGGCACAAAGUACCAUAACUGAGAGCGACUGGAGCUACGUCGACGUUUUCAUCAGGUGGUUUUUCAGGGUGUCAAUUUCGUAUAUGGUGUAGGAUGCUCUAGGAGAUCCACCGAGGUCAGCUUAUCAAGAGAUACUAGAGGAGGAUCAUACACAGUUAGAUCAUGCUGAUGAUGUCUUGCCUAAAUGUUGUUGCAUAGUUGAGAUUGCGCAGGUAGACAUUGACAAAUGUAUCUUCCUUGAUGGAUCUGAUGUUAGGAAGGUCCUAUAUGCCAUCGUGACGGAGGAGGCAUUGAUGUAACAGAGACAAUGCCAAAGGACAAGGGUAUUAAAGGCCGAUGAGUCAGAGGAGGCAGAGGAGAUGUAGU